UUUUGCCAAUGCUGUCAUAGAAGAGGAGAUCACAGAUUCAGAGGAAGAGAUGAAAGAGAACCAACAGGGACUGGGAAUGAAAAGGAUCCAGGUUCUUUCUGGAAAACAAACAUCAUCAUAGAGCCCAACAUCACCAUGGAUACAUCAUCUCAUUAGAACAGGUUUAUACUUUACCAGAGGAAACUGCCUAUAAACUAUGACAAAGUAUGUAAGCUAUUUGGAAUCCUGCUCUGAUUCUAUACUUAUUAGGUCUCAAGGAUAAUGAAACUCAGACAUGACAAGAUUAGUCACAAAUAGAAGGAAUUAUAGAAGAAGACAAACUUGGAACCUCAACUCUCUUAGAAAUGUACUCACAACUUGCUCUGGAUCUUGGCCAGUUUGUAAUUCCAGGAGUCCUAGAAGAAACAGAGUGGGAAGGACCUUGCCAGAUGCUCCAGAUGAGUGAGAGUGCAGUCUAGAGGCUGAGAACACCAAUCCUAAAGGACCUAUGGAGGAACCUCAAGCAUGGACUGUAAGGUGAUUUGCCUACAAACUUCCAGUAAAUUCUAAACAAGUUGGACAUCAUUCCCAGACUCUCUUCUCAAUAAGCGAAAUAGCUAUUGCUACUGCAUUAAGAUUUCCAGAAAUAGGAGAAUCAUUACAAAGCAAGAAUGAUUAACUUCACAAGAAUGUUGCAUGAAUUAAUGAGAUAAUAACUUUGUAAUUUUUUGCAAGAUAUAUGUUUCAUAAAGACAUAGCCAACAGGAGCACUAUAAGAAAAAAUGAUGCAAAUGCUUCCAAAUCGCCCUGAUAAAUAAAUAAAAAUA